UCAAGGAUGCCUGAGGGGAUUUGAGUCCUACAGGCUCAGCACUUAUGAAAAAGGAUAAAGUCCUUCCCAGCCUGGCAGGAGAAGGAAAAGCCUGUGGUGGGGGAAGGGAGUGAAGGCGUGUGCCUCCUCAUGGAACACAGGGUCGGAGUCGGCUAGGAGGGAUAAGAGUACAAUAGAGGGUUGUGUGACACAGACAGGCUGCCAGCCCUCAGCAUGGACCCGGCACAUGGAAUCUGUGAUCUUAAAAGAGUCAAGUGACUACCUUUGGCAACCAAAAGAGACACUGCCUUUUAGAAGGCAUAUCAUCUGAAACUGGCUGAAAGAGCUGUCUUACUUAGGAAGAAAAAUCUCUCCUUUGGAAAGAGCUGGAACUUUUAGUAAAACUGAACAGUGAGGUGGCGGAAGAUAAAUAUGCUGAGGCAUGUUUUCAAGGAGGGGAGAGAGAUUCCUUUUCCUCAGCCGGGCACAGAGCCAACCUGAAGUGUAGCACUGUGGUGACCUGGCGGGAUCUGCUCUCCAGUCACUCCCGAGGGCCCUUCUGGGGACAAGGAGACUUUUCUGUGCGGCCUGUUGAUUUGAGAUCGAGGCUAUCAAGCUACAGAUGAUCUUACAAAUGGAACCCCAAAUGAGCUCAACUAACAACUACCAAGGACCCCUGGACCAACCCGCUGGCCCUUUCAAUGGCCUAAAGAGUUCCCCUCUGGAGGACACUACAACUGCAGGGUCCUUUCUUUGCCCCUAUCCAGCAGGAAGUAGCUA
rnacentral:lncRNA from 1 species